GCGGGGCGGGGCGGGGCGGGGCCGAGCGAAGAGGAGGGGCGCGGCCCGGGGGAGGGUGGUCGUCCGCGCCGGUGCAGGCCCGGCGGUGACGCCGUGCUGGCGUGUCCUCCCCGCUCGCCCGGUAGCAGGGCACCCGGAGGGCAGGAAGCGGGCCUCCCAAAGCGCCCCCAAGGCUCACGGCAGGUGGCGCCCCCGCCAGCCACCCCGCGCCCCAGCUCUCGCUAAGCCGCCCAAGUUCGCGGCACCCUCUUCUCGUUUUACCAACCCGGGGCCUCCUCCCGCCCCGCCAGGAAGGCGUGGCUGCGGUUUUCACCUGCCCCCUGUCAAGCGGGCAGAAGCUUUGGAGUUGUGAAAGUGUUCUCCCUGGACCCGGAAAACAUCAAAGUUGUGGACUUAAAACUUCUCGCUUCAAUGUUCAAACUUUAGCAGCAUGCCUGCACAUGUUAACCAAGGGCAAAUAAACUUAUUUCUCAUUCUUCACUCAUUCAACAAGAAACUGUACAGUCUAUGGAUGAUACAAAGGGACCAGCCCUGCUGCACCCGGAAAUUCCUCUUUGGUGUGGGAGUCCCCGCAGAGUGACCCUGUGCUUCUCAGACUCACCUUUGUGGUACCCACGGAGGCUGGCAGCAUCGUGGGCCAGCCCUGGCUCUCAGUGCUAACCAGAGCCUCGGUGACCUGGCUCGUGCCUGUGGAAGGCCUGGUGAUGCCCACCGCCACCAACACCGCAGAGGAGGCAAGCUGCUGGCACCGAUUCUGUGGACGGCAAACUUCCACGUCACCAGAGAUUUUCAUCUCUGUCUGAAGGAAAUGGCCACGACGUCUGGCUUCUUGGAGAAUCCCCAGGACCCAACACAGAACACGAAAGAAAAGCGACACAGAUCAUCCGGACAGCGGCCAAAUCUGGCAAGUCUGCACCCCACCUAGCAGAAGCCCGAGCCCACCACGCAGCCCCAGGCCAGUGACCGGCCGCGGCCUGGACAUCGGAGGGACAAGUGAGUCUAAGUGGCAACUUCAGCGUCUGUAAAAUGGAGCGCAAUUAACACCCUUCUUUGGGAAGUUGUGAGAAUCCGAACUGUGAAUGCCGCCUACGACCUGCAAUAAGCAAGUUGAGUUUGCCCUUAUUGCCGUUACUGCUGUUACUAUGUUAGCUCGAGCGCCGUUGUCUCCCGCGCCCGUUCUACCCGGCAGCCCACGGCCCGCGGCCGCUCAAGCCAGAAAGUGAAGGGCUCGCGGCCCCGGGGGCGGC